rnacentral:snoRNA from 1 species
UUCCAAUGAUGAAUUUUCAGUUCUGCUUCCGAAAGAGACAACUCUUGUGGACAACACUGUAUACCAAAAACUCUUCCUGACUC